UCUUCGCCGAGAAGAGAUGAAGGCGAGGCGGAGGUCGUGGAGCCCUUAGAGCUCUCUUUCUCCGACCUCCUCCUACACCUCUCCUCCGCUGCUUCCGCUCCCUCUAGGGUUUCUUCCUCCCCAGAGAGCUGGCGAGGCUUGAAUCCCUCUCCGCCGCCGUGAUGCAAGCCCGAGGUCCGGCGGGGCCCGGCCUCUUAACUGUCAGGGGGAUCUGGAGAGGCCCCGCUGGAGCAGGAUGCUCACGCUCCUUGACAACAAUGAUCGCGCUCGAGUUCUCAAAGGAGCAUAGCUUAGGCAGUGAUGUUCCUUUGAAGAAUCUAGAUAGGAAUCUCUCCUCAUUUUCCUUCAGUUAAAAUAUGGAUAAGAUUCAAGUUUGGGGUUGUCUUCAAGUGAUCUUAGCAUAAGAGAAAAAGGCAGCUACAGUGAAGAAGAUAAUCCAUCUGUCAAUGGAUUCCAGGAAUUCAAUCAUCACGGGUUCGAGCAGCUCAGCAAAACUUUUAAGUAGCUUGUCUUCACAUGAUGGACUUGGACUUUGUGUAGCACAAAUCUGUGAUAAGGCCAUUGGUAGCAGAGAACUGGAACAGAGCAUUAUAAAUAUGGAAACUGCAAAGAGGUGCCUUGUUCACUAUAAUUCGAUGUUGGAUAACCUUAUUCUCAAAGAGAACUAUAGAAUGAAAGGAUCUAUAAAGAAAGUGCAUUCAAUUAAAAUUUGUCCUUCAAAUUUUCAUGAAUCUGCUAUGUCAGGAAGCAUUUUUCCUGUCAGAAAAGGAGCCCUUGGAUGAGUUGCUUAUAGAGAAUAGCUUGAUUGAAGAUAGGUUCUGCAGAAAUUUUUUAUCCUGUUUAUGGAAGCAAUGGCAUUAUGACUAUGGAAUCUUUACUAUUCUAACAACACCAUUAUUUACAUUCCUUGCCAAACAGAUGUUUGUUCUUCUCUAACAGUCCAGAGUGCUCUUCUCCAGAUGGGCAUACAUAUCUGCAACUGUUUGACACUAAAAAGAAUAAUCUCUUUGUGGUGAAAUCCCCACCUGAAAGCUUCUUCAUUCAGGUAGGGGAAGCAGCUGAUAUCUUGUCAUGUGCCAGCUUGGGACAAAACUCUCUCUUAUCCUGCAUACCUUUUAGAUUCUGAAACAAGUAGGAAGUUGUUGUCAAGCUUCGAGACAUCUGGGUCUUGUGACCGAAAAAACAAAUGCUUCACUGAGCUCCUU